GACAGAGGUGCCAAGCGUUAGGCGGAAUCACUGGGCUUAAAGCGUGUGUAGGCGGAUCGUUAAGUACCUUGUGAAAUCCCACGGCUCAACCGUGGAACUGCUCGGUAUACUGGCGGUCUUGAGCCACCUAGGGGCAACUGGAACAAGCGGUGGAGCGGUGAAAUGCGCAGAUAUCAGGAGGAACACCGAUGGCGAAGGCAGGUCUCUGGGCCACUACUGACGCUGAGAAGCGAAAGCAUGGGGAGCGAACAGG
rnacentral:rRNA from 1 species